rnacentral:rRNA from 1 species
GGGGAAAAGAUCUCAGAGACGGAUGAGUGCCUUCGGGAGCCGUAACACAGGUGCUGCAUGGCUGUCGUCAGCUCGUGUCGUGAGAUGUUGGGUUAAGUCCCGCAACGAGCGCAACCCUUGUCCUUAGUUGCCAUCAUUAAGUUGGGCACUCUAAUGAGACUGCCGGGGACAAACCGGAGGAAGGUGGGGAUGAAGUCAAAUCCUCCUGGCCCUUAUGACCAGGGCUUCACACGUCAUACAAUGGUCGGUACAAAGGGUAGCCAAGCCGCGAGGUGGAGCCAAUCUCACAAAACCGAUCGUAGUCCGGAUUGCACUCUGCAACUCGAGUGCAUGAAGUCGGAAUCGCUAGUAAUCGCAGGUCAGCAUACUGCGGUGAAUACGUUCCCG